UGCCCCGUGGCUAAGUUGGUUACAGCGUCCGACUGUUACGUAAGAAGCCUCGAGGCACGGGCUAUUACCAAAAUCGGAAGGUCGAGAGUUCGACCCUCUCCGGGGCAG